rnacentral:rRNA from 1 species
GAUGAACGCUAGCUACAGGCUUAACACAUGCAAGUCGAGAGGAAACGAUAGAGAAAGCUUGCUUUUUCUAGGCGUCGACCGGCGCACGGGUGAGUAACGCGUAUCCAACCUGCCCACCACUUGGGGAUAACCUUGCGAAAGUAAGACUAAUACCCAAUGAUAUCUCAAGAAGACAUCUGAAUGAGAUUAAAGAUUUAUCGGUGAUGGAUGGGGAUGCGUCUGAUUAGCUUGUUGGCGGGGUAACGGCCCACCAAGGCGACGAUCAGUAGGGGUUCUGAGAGGAAGGUCCCCCACAUUGGAACUGAGACACGGUCCAAACUCCUACGGGAGGCAGCAGUGAGGAAUAUUGGUCAAUGGGCGAGAGCCUGAACCAGCCAAGUAGCGUGCAGGAUGACGGCCCUAUGGGUUGUAAACUGCUUUUAUAAGGGAAUAAAGUGAGUCUCGUGAGACUUUUUGCAUGUACCUUAUGAAUAAGGACCGGCUAAUUCCGUGCCAGCAGCCGCCGUAA